AGUACGUGAAACUGCUUAGAGGUUAAACCCGAUGAACCUGAAUAUCCAUUAUGGAAAAUUCAAUACUAAUAAUACAAUAUAAUAUCAUAUUGUAAAAAUGGUGUGCAAUUUUUCCAUAUAAGGACAUUGUAAUCUGUUAAUGUAAUAAAUAUUUAUCAAAAGAUUCUUUACUUAAGUUUAUUUAAAUUGUUUAUUUUCGGAUAUUCAACAUAAAAUAAAUGUAUUGAAUCAGAUAAAUCAUUGACAGAUAUAAUUAUAUAUGGUGCUUAAAUUUUACGGAAUUUUGCAAUGGUAAAUAGUUCUUAUGAUCUAUUUAUUAUAUUGUUUGCGCUAUUAUGAUUAACAAUGCGAUAGAUUCAGGAUACCUUCGGGACCCGUCUUGAAACACGGACCAAGGAGUCUAACAUAUGUGCAAGUCAUUGGGUAUUUUUAAUAAAACCCAAUGGCAUAAUUAACUUAACUUAUUAUAAUGGGAUUAAUUUAUAAUUUAUUAUGAAUUAUUUAUUCAAUCCCGGGGCGUUCUAUAUAGUUAUGUAUAAUAGUAUUUAUAUUAUUUAUACCUCUAACUAGAGCGUACCUUGAGC
rnacentral:rRNA from 1 species